GACGAACGCUGGCGGCGUGCUUAACACAUGCAAGUCGAACGGAAAGGCCCUGCUUUUGUGGGGUGCUCGAGUGGCGAACGGGUGAGUAACACGUGAGUAACCUGCCCUUGACUUUGGGAUAACUUCAGGGAACUGGGGCUAAUACCGGAUAGGAGCUCCUGCUGCAUGGUGGGGGUUGGAAAGUUUCGGCGGUUGGGGAUGGACUCGCGGCUUAUCAGCUUGUUGGUGGGGUAGUGGCUUACCAAGGCUUUGACGGGUAGCCGGCCUGAGAGGGUGACCGGCCACAUUGGGACUGAGAUACGGCCCAGACUCCUACGGGAGGCAGCAGUGGGGAAUAUUGCACAAUGGGCGGAAGCCUGAUGCAGCAACGCCGCGUGCGGGAUGACGGCCUUCGGGUUGUAAGCCGCUUUCGCCUGUGACGAAGCGUGAGUGACGGUAAUGGGUAAAGAAGCACCGGCUAACUACGUG
rnacentral:rRNA from 1 species